rnacentral:rRNA from 1 species
GACGAACGCUGGCGGCGUGCUUAACACAUGCAAGUCGAACGGUGACCCAGGGCUUGCCCUGGUGAUCAGUGGCGAUCGGGUGAGUAACACGUGGGCAACCUGCCCUGACUUCGGGAUAACUCCUCGAAAGAGGAGCUAAUACCGGAUACGACCACUUCGGACAUCCGAUGGUGGUGGAAAGUUUUUCGGUCAGGGAUGGGCCCGCGGCCUAUCAGCUAGUUGGUGGGGUAAUGGCCUACCAAGGCGACGACGGGUAGCCGGCCUGAGAGGGCGACCGGCCACACUGGGACUGAGACACGGCCCAGACUCCUACGGGAGGCAGCAGUGGGGAAUAUUGCGCAAUGGGCGAAAGCCUGACGCAGCGACGCCGCGUUGAGGGAUGAAGGCCUUCGGGUUGUAAACCGUCUCUCAGCAGGACGAAGCGAAAGUGACGGUACCUG